ensembl:lncRNA
UUUUUUAUUUUUUAUUUUUAAGAUAAUAAGGUAAUCUGACGUAACGAACGAAUCAAAACGAACGAAUCAAAUAAACGAAUCGUUAUAGUGAACUGAACUGAAAGAACUAGUUCCCGGAGAAGAAUCAUUUUGCCCAUCCCUAGUGGGCAGAUAAGGGAGAGGGAGGUGGGGGCUGUUGGAAAAUUUCCAAGGCCUUGGGAAAGGUGGGGGUUUUACCAGCGGGGACUGAAGGACUGAAGAGGAAUAGAUUUACUUAUGUCAGUGUUACUCAUGUAUCAGGUUUAGGCAUGUAUCAGUUAAAUAUCAUAAAAUCAUGUAUCAUGUUUUAGUAUCAUCAUAUAACAAUCAUUUUCUUUGCUUCUUUGUUUUAGUAUCAUCAUGAAUAUAUCUCUUUCUUUAAUAUCUAUCAUUCACUAUAAGAUUUAUCAUGUUGUUUAGACAUGAUCGGUUAUGGAAGAAAGCACCUAGAAAGAUUACAGCACUUGUGGGUGAAAUGAUGUUGUCAUACGCUUAUGACAUGUUGUAUUGUUUAUCUUACACUUAUGAUAUCUUGUAUUGUUGUAUUGUUUAUCUUACACUUAUGAUAUGUUGUAUUAUGGUAUUGUUUAUCAUUAUAUGUUGUAUUUUACUUAUUAGUAUAAUUUGUGGAACAAGUAACAACAAUCUGAAGGCGUACGUGCCUGAGAGUAGGCCUACGUGCCUGAGAGAAUCUUUGCCAUGGCGCGGUGGAAAAAUACCAGGUCAGAGUGACCUGAUGGCCAGCUGCAUGGGUAAGAGAGAGGGCGGGGCUGACAGUGAAAGUUUUAGAUAAAAGGCGCUGUAGGAAGCAGAGAGAUAGAGACAUCGUCCCGACGGGGGCUCCAUGCGGGGCGGCCCUGGGCCCUUUGCGAUCUCCGGACUUUCGGACUUAGAGAGAUUAGAACAUCCGAUCUCCGGACUUUCGGACUUAGAAAAAUUAGGACAUCCUCUCUCCAACACGCUACAGAGAUGCGUGUCGUAGCCCACUGGGGCAAAGAAGACUACUGGCUGUGGGACCAUUUGAUGAGAAUAUCCUGGCUGUGGGACCAUUUGAUGAGACCGACCCUCCGUGCCCCAGGAGAGAUAGAGCUUCCGUCGACACCGGGGAAGCGUAGUGUAGAGAGGAGAGAUAGGGAUUCCCUCUCUUUUCCUCUGUCAAAACCGGCGUGGAACACCAGCGCUGCUCACUUCUCGACGACACGGAGCGGCCCGUAUCAGAUAGGGGCCAUCGGAGCAACAUUCCAGGGCAGCUCACCCUCCCCAAUCUGAAUCAGUGCGGGGGCCGACGGCAGGGGAACAACGGCCUUUCUCUUCACACAGCUGAGGGGAGUGCUGGACGUAGUGUAGAGAGGCCUUCACCGCUUGCUGCAAUGUCCCAGAUAUUAAUCCUGCAAAUAAAACUAUAUUCAAACCAUUCCUUUCCAAUCAUUCCAAGGACCUGCUACGGAGGAGUGUAGGUUAGAGCUUCAGUGAACGAACUAACUGUUCUAGUAUAGGCAUCGUGGAUCUAAGAGGUUACCUAGUACAAAGAAAUCAAACGUAUCCCGGGAGUUAGUCAUUCCAAACUCCUAAAAACAUCUCAGCACGGAUCCCAGAGGAGAGCUAUCACAACAGACGUGAUCGGCAUGCCACAUUCCUGGCUACGGGUAAUGCCCAGGGGUGGGGCACCGAGGUAAGAGGGAUAGGCGUCUGAUACAAGGUAGUUAGGGGCUGAGCGAAUCUCCUCACCAACCUGUUACAACCGUUACGGGAUACAGGUUUCACUAGCAUCGCCAUUUAGGGGGUGGUAGAAUUGACGGAUCUGACAACACACAAACAAACAGAGCCUGUUACACUUCUGGUUUUGAAACAGUGCAGUAUCUUACCUCUGGGAGUGGCCCUCAAUGACAGAGAGGAUGGCACUCUUCUUUGGUUUGGACUCCCGCAAUUCACUAUUAUGAAGCGCCUCAAAGAAUGCCUGGCAGUCUUUAUCUGAUGGUCUGAUAUCAGGAAGACCAGGACCUUGAUUUUGGGAGCUUGAACAUGGCUCUUGUUUAUUAGAGAAACUGAUGUUGCAGAUCUCUUCAUAUGGGACCCCUCUGACAGAGUUCAUACUUGUCUGAGCCCAAGCACAGGGCUUCUCCGUGCAAGCCUGCCCGUUUUUCAUAUCAGCAGCAGCCAACACAGAGUACAGAAGAGCUGCUGCAUGAGAGCAGACCUCUCCUAGGCCUGCCUUACAGGUGCAAUGAGCCAUGAGUACUGUCCCAUCCUCUUGUACUGUGAUCCAGGGAUGUGUUGGGGUCACUGAAAGGUUUUGUGAAUGCUUCAACUUUAGUUUGGAACACAAAUCGGGAAUUACAAGUUUAGCAAUAUAGCCAGAUCAAUGAUGUUUAAGUUAUACAUAGCAUUAUCUAAGUUGGGUGGCCUUUUCCUUCACAUCAAAAAGGAGGACACUUUGCAUACAUUGGGUCACGCAAGAAGAUAUUUGUUUGGUAUGAUCCGGUUUUCAUUUUUUAUAUGUUUUUACACCAGAUUAAAUAAAGGUGCCUACACAUACCACAUAGCUAAUAAUUAAUUUACAAUAUACAGCUCAUGACAACGAGCACUUCCAAUUCA